AGCGAACGCUGGCGGCAGGCUUAACACAUGCAAGUCGAGCGGGCGUAGCAAUACGUCAGCGGCAGACGGGUGUGUAACGCGUGGGAACAUACCUUUUGGUUCGGAACAACACAGGGAAACUUGUGCUAAUACCGGAUAAGCCCUUACGGGGAAAGAUUUAUCGCCGAAAGAUUGGCCCGCGUCUGAUUAGCUAGUUGGUGAGGUAACGGCUCACCAAGGCGACGAUCAGUAGCNGGUCUGAGAGGAUGAUCAGCCACAUUGGGACUGAGACACGGCCCAAACUCCUACGGGAGGCAGCAGUGGGGAAUAUUGGACAAUGGGCGAAAGCCUGAUCCAGCCAUGCCGCGUGAGUGAUGAAGGCCCUAGGGUUGUAAAGCUCUUUUGUGCGGGAAGAUAAUGACGGUACCGCAAGAAUAAGCCCCGGCUAACUUCGUGCCAGCCGCCGCAGU
rnacentral:rRNA from 1 species